rnacentral:rRNA from 1 species
AUAUCAAUAAGCGGAGGAAAAGAAACCAACAGGGAUUGCCUUAGUAACGGCGAGUGAAGCGGCAAAAGCUCAAAUUUGAAAUCUGGCACCUUCGGUGUCCGAGUUGUAAUUUGAAGAAGGUAACCUUGGGGUUGGCUCUUGUCUAUGUUUCUUGGAACAGAACGUCACAGAGGGUGAGAAUCCCGUGCGAUGAGAUGCCCAAUUCUAUGUAAGGUGCUUUCGAAGAGUCGAGUUGUUUGGGAAUGCAGCUCUAAGUGGGUGGUAAAUUCCAUCUAAAGCUAAAUAUUGGCGAGAGACCGAUAGCGAACAAGUACAGUGAUGGAAAGAUGAAAAGAACUUUGAAAAGAGAGUGAAAAAGUACGUGAAAUUGUUGAAAGGGAAGGGUAUGAGAUCAGACUUGGUGUUUUGCAACCUCACUCUCGGGUGGGGCCCCUGCAGUUCAUCGGGCCAGCAUCAGUUUGGAUGGUAGGAUAAUGACAUUGGAAUGUGGCUUGACUUCGGUUAAGUGUUAUAGCCCUUGUUGAUACUACCUGUCUAGACUGAGGACUGCGUCUUUGACUAGGAUGCUGGCAUAAUGAUCCUAUACCGC